rnacentral:rRNA from 1 species
UACGUAGGGGGCAAGCGUUGUCCGGAAUCAUUGGGCGUAGAGAGCGUGUAGGCGGCUCGAUAAGUCUGCUGUGAAAGUCCAGGGCUCAACCCUGGAAGGCCGGUGGAAACUGUCGGGCUAGAGUCCGGAAGAGGCGAGUGGAAUUCCUGGUGUAGCGGUGAAAUGCGCAGAUAUCAGGAGGAACACCAAUGGCGAAGGCAGCUCGCUGGGACGGUACUGACGCUGAGACGCGAAAGCGUGGGGAGCAAACAGG